rnacentral:rRNA from 1 species
AGCGAACGCUGGCGGCAGGCUUAACACAUGCAAGUCGAGCGGGCACUUCGGUGUCAGCGGCAGACGGGUGAGUAACACGUGGGAACGUACCCUUUGGUUCGGAAUAACGCUGGGAAACUAGCGCUAAUACCGGAUACGCCCUUUUGGGGAAAGGCUUGCUGCCGAAGGAUCGGCCCGCGUCUGAUUAGCUAGUUGGUGGGGUAAUGGCCUACCAAGGCGACGAUCAGUAGCUGGUCUGAGAGGAUGAUCAGCCACACUGGGACUGAGACACGGCCCAGACUCCUACGGGAGGCAGCAGUGGGGAAUAUUGGACAAUGGGCGCAAGACUGAUCCAGCCAUGCCGCGUGAGUGAUGAAGGCCUUAGGGUUGUAAAGCUCUUUUGUCCGGGACGAUAAUGACGGUACCGGAAGAAUAAGCCCCGGCUAACUUCGUG